rnacentral:ncRNA from 1 species
UAUAUUUGCCGCUCGAAAGAGAAGCUUUCGUGUACAUAACAAUCAUUUACAAUAAUAUUAGAAUG